CACGUAGGGUGCGAGCGUUGUCCGGAAUCAUUGGGCGUAAAGGGCUCGUAGGCGGCCAACUAAGUCGGACGUGAAAUCCCCAGGCUCAACCUGGGAACUGCGUCCGAUACUGGAUGGCUUUGAAUUCGGGAGAGGGAUGCAGAAUUCCAGGUGUAGCGGUGAAAUGCGUAGAUAUCGAGAGGAACACCGAUGGCGAAGGCAGGUCACUGGGCCAACUGACGCUGGAGGCGCGAAAGCUAGGGGAGCAAACAGG
rnacentral:rRNA from 1 species